CCUAACACAUGCAAGUCGAACGGUAACAGGAAACAGCUUGCUGUUUCGCUGACGAGUGGCGGACGGGUGAGUAAUGUCUGGGAAACUGCCUGAUGGAGGGGGAUAACUACUGGAAACGGUAGCUAAUACCGCAUAACGUCGCAAAACCAAAGAGGGGGACCUUCGGGCCUCUUGCCAUCGGAUGUGCCCAGAUGGGAUUAGCUAGUAGGUGGGGUAACGGCUCACCUAGGCGACGAUCCCUAGCUGGUCUGAGAGGAUGACCAGCCACACUGGAACUGAGACACGGUCCAGACUCCUACGGGA
rnacentral:rRNA from 1 species